UACAGAGGGGCAAGCGUUAUUCGGAAUUAUUGGGCGUAAAGGGCGCGUAGGCGGCUUUGCAAGUGACGGGUGAAAUCCCUCGGCUUAACCGAGGAACUGCCUGUCAGACUGCAUGGCUUGAGACCGGGAGAGGUGAGUGGAACUGCGAGUGUAGAGGUGAAAUUCGUAGAUAUUCGCAAGAACACCAGUGGCGAAGGCGGCUCACUGGCCCGAUACUGACGCUGAGGCACGAAAGCGUGGGGAGCAAACAGG
rnacentral:rRNA from 1 species